rnacentral:rRNA from 1 species
CUAACUCUGUGCCAGCAGCCGCGGUAAUACAGAGGGUGCAAGCGUUAAUCGGAAUUACUGGGCGUAAAGCGCACGCAGGCGGUCUGUCAAGUCAAAUGUGAAAUCCCCGAGCUCAACCUGGGAACUGCAUUCGAUACUGGCAGGCUAGAGUCUUGUAGAGGGGGGUAGAAUUCCAGGUGUAGCGGUGAAAUGCGUAGAGAUCUGGAGGAAUACCGAUGGCGAAGGCAGCCAUCUGGCCUAACACUGACAGCUGAGGUUCUGAAA